rnacentral:rRNA from 1 species
GACGAACGCUGGCGGCGUGCCUAAUACAUGCAAGUUGAGCGCUGAAGGUUGGUACUUGUACCAACUGGAUGAGCAGCGAACGGGUGAGUAACGCGUGGGGAAUCUGCCUUUGAGCGGGGGACAACAUUUGGAAACGAAUGCUAAUACCGCAUAAAAACUUUAAACACAAGUUUUAAGUUUGAAAGAUGCAAUUGCAUCACUCAAAGAUGAUCCCGCGUUGUAUUAGCUAGUUGGUGAGGUAAAGGCUCACCAAGGCGAUGAUACAUAGCCGACCUGAGAGGGUGAUCGGCCACAUUGGGGAGGAGACACGGCCCGAACUCCUACGGGAGGCAGCAGUAGGGAAUCUUCGGCAAUGGACGAAAGUCUGACCGAGCAACGCCGCGUGAGUGAAGAAGGGUUUCGGAUCGGAAAAAUCUGUUGGUAGAGAAGAACGUUGGUGAGAGUGGAAAGCUCAUCAAGUGACGGUAACUACCCAGAAAGGGACGGCUAACUACGUG